rnacentral:rRNA from 1 species
GAUGAACGCUGGCGGCGUGCUUAACACAUGCGAGUCGAACGAAGCAUUUGCGACAGAUUUUUUCGGAAUGAAGUUGCUUAUGACUGAGUGGCGGACGGGUGAGUAACGCGUGGGUAACCUGCCUUGUACUGGGGGAUAGCAGCUGGAAACGGCUGGUAAUACCGCAUAAGCGCACAAUGUUGCAUGACAUGGUGUGAAAAACUCCGGUGGUAUAGGAUGGACCCGCGUCUGAUUAGCUAGUUGGUGAGAUAACAGCCCACCAAGGCGACGAUCAGUAGCCGACCUGAGAGGGUGACCGGCCACAUUGGGACUGAGACACGGCCCAGACUCCUACGGGAGGCAGCAGUGGGGAAUAUUGCACAAUGGAGGAAACUCUGAUGCAGCGACGCCGCGUGAGUGAAGAAGUAAUUCGUUAUGUAAAGCUCUAUCAGCAGGGAAGAUAGUGGCGGUACCUGACUAAGAAGUUCCGGCUAAAUACGUG